rnacentral:rRNA from 1 species
GACGAACGCUGGCGGCGUGCCUAAUACAUGCAAGUCGAGCGGACUUUCAAGAAGCUUGCUUUUUGAAAGUUAGCGGCGGACGGGUGAGUAACACGUGGGCAACCUGCCUGCAAGACGGGGAUAACUCCGGGAAACCGGGGCUAAUACCGGAUAAUAUCUUCCUUCGCAUGAAGGAAGGUUGAAAGGCGGCGCAAGCUGCCGCUUGCAGAUGGGCCCGCGGCGCAUUAGCUAGUUGGUGAGGUAACGGCUCACCAAGGCGACGAUGCGUAGCCGACCUGAGAGGGUGAUCGGCCACACUGGGACUGAGACACGGCCCAGACUCCUACGGGAGGCAGCAGUAGGGAAUCUUCCGCAAGGGACGAAAGUCUGACGGAGCAACGCCGCGUGAGCGAAGAAGGUCUUCGGAUCGUAAAGCUCUGUUGUCAGGGAAGAACAAGUACCGUUCGAACAGGGCGGUACCUUGACGGUACCUGACCAGAAAGCCACGGCUAACUACGUG